rnacentral:rRNA from 1 species
GAUGAACGCUGGCGGCGUGCCUAAUACAUGCAAGUCGAGCGAACGGACGAGAAGCUUGCUUUUCUGAUGUUAGCGGCGGACGGGUGAGUAACACGUGGAUAACCUACCUAUAAGACUGGGAUAACUUCGGGAAACCGGAGCUAAUACCGGAUAAUAUUUUGAACCGCAUGGUUCAAAAGUGAAAGACGGUCUUGCUGUCACUUGUAGAUGGAUCCGCGCUGCAUUAGCUAGUUGGUAAGGUAACGGCUUACCAAGGCAACGAUGCAUAGCCGACCUGAGAGGGUGAUCGGCCACACUGGAACUGAGACACGGUCCAGACUCCUACGGGAGGCAGCAGUAGGGAAUCUUCCGCAAUGGGCGAAAGCCUGACGGAGCAACGCCGCGUGAGUGAUGAAGGUCUUCGGAUCGUAAAACUCUGUUAUUAGGGAAGAACAUAUGUGUAAGUAACUGUGCACAUCUUGACGGUACCUAAUCAGAAAGCCACGGCUAACUACGUG